rnacentral:lncRNA from 1 species
UGCUCUGUAUGCCUGUUAUCCAAUAAUAGACUGCUACAACAAAAGGCAAAACUGCUCAAGCAUCAUAAGCUCAACCUGGGAAAAAUUAUGUCUCCUUCAAUAUUAUUUAUGUUCUAUAGAUUAUAUUUUUUUAACCAAACAUUGCUAUCCUCAAGUAAAAACUAAUGCAUUCUUAAUGUUGUUUUCACUGUAGGGGAAAAAGGAACCAACAGGAACUUCAAAGAAAAAAAAACGAAGUUCAUACACGUAUACCUGCUAUCCACAUCUAUAUACUCCCUCCGUUUUUAUUUAGAAGGCGCACCCGCAUAUCAAAACUCAAACUUUGUAAGUUUUGACGAAUAAUUUGACUAUUAAUUUUUUUAUUUUUUUAAUGUAAACUUUAUAUGGUUGGAUUCGUAAUCAAAUAUACUCUACUAUGAUUAUAACUUUAUAACCAUAAACAAUAUAAGAUAAGAUAAAUGAAUGGUUUGGAAGACCGUUUCAAGCAAUACCAUGCCUUAUAAACAUAGAUGGGGAGAGUAUUUGUGUGCACUACUGAUUGCUUCGUGAAUUCUUCUGCUCAAUGUGUUGAGUUUAUAUAUAGUAUCGACAGUGCAUAUAUCUUUACUGAGCUCUUACAUAAUAAAUUGAUAUCAAAUGAAGUGCAGUAUCGAUAUCAUCUGUAGGAAGAGAUGUUUAAAACAUUAGGGAUCAGUUAAUAUCUACAAACAACCAUGAAGACAUGAUAAAUUAUCAACGAUGAGUCACAUUCAGACCAACAAACUCAAAAGAUUGUUCUGCAGUGUUCCUCACUUAAAAAAAACUCGACUGGCGGGAGAAAGACCGUCCCAUGGUAUUGCACUAAGAAGAAAUCUUAGCCAAUCUGAUCGAGAAAACCCGCGAACCCUGGCUUCACCCUAUA